ACCUUUCUUUCUUCCAGGGAGCCAGGGAAGGAAUGGUCUCGCAUUACUUCUUCUGCGCCUUUUCAGAAUCAAUGAAUCUUAUCGAACCAAUAACGAUUCUGACGUCAUUCCUGACAUAUAAUGAUAUUCCUAUAUUUAUCACCUACCCACGUAUAUCUUUUGUCUAUAGCAAGAAUUUACUACUUGGGGAACAAGUUAUCAAAUACU